rnacentral:lncRNA from 1 species
GGAUGUAUUAUGAUAUUUUUCCUACUUAAAUCGAUUUACAAUUAACUGUGACAGCCAAGGAGGGCUAAUCAAACUGGUUAUUGGGGUGGUAUUGAAUAAGCUGAAGAUAAUACAUUAGUCCGUGACUGAACAUUUGGUUGAAAUGAAUAAUGGAGUAGCAGAUCUGACCAAUCGAAACAAGUGGUGUGCGGCUGGUCAUAAUUGCCAAAGGUUGUCUUCAAUCAACUAUCAUCUCACUUUCGAAUGUGCCGCAGUUUCUUUGAAGACAUCUAAUAAAAAUUUAAAUGAAGAAAUGGGGGUGUAGGCAAG